CCCCUCCCACGUCCCCACCUGGAGCCCUGGCGCCCUCGGGAUAGCGGGACCCGCGCGGCGUGGGGGUGGGGCGCGGGCUCGGAGUUGGCCGCGCAGCACCUCCCGCUCCGGCCGCUGCCCCGGACUAGGGCAUUGUAUGGAGUCCUCGCUCCUCUAGAAUUCGGGUCACUGCCGUUCUGGUUCAGGGAUCUCAGCCGUCCAUCACGCGGAGAGCUUGGAGAGGCCUGUGCCACCGGAGAUGGGAAGAUGGAGCGAGUCCGGGGUGGCUUAUGGCUGUGGAUCACAUUUUACUACGAUUGUUGUGCAUGGGAAAGAAUGACGAAAUACAUGGAUCCCUUCUGGGAGUUUACGCGGGUAUCUUGUCCAAAGUAGACUCUGACAUAACCACCUGAUGCAGGUCUGUCCCCCUUUCCCCUUCAGGAAGUCCUUUUAAAACCUAAAUUAAGACGCUGUUUGAGGAUCUUGUAGGGGAAUGGGAGGGAAUUGGGAGACGCGGAGCUAAAAGACGACCCAAAGGAAGAGUUUAAAUGUAAUUCUCUUAGAACUGUUAGUGUAUCAGUCAAGAGUCUUGAACCUAUAGUAAUAGUUGUUUAAAUUUGUUUUGUAAAUGGUCUCCUUGAGUGGAUUAUAACCCUUGCCUUGGGUAUUUUACCAUCAGAAUAGGGAUUAACAUCUGGACCGUUGGUUGUUGCGUAAUGCAUGUGAGCCCUGGAGGGGAAUCUAAUGGGUCUGGAUUUGUUGUGUUUAAAUUUUACUUAUUUAUUUCAAAGCACUUUGUGGACGUAUAGGUAAUCUCUUCAAAC
rnacentral:lncRNA from 1 species